AAACCGUCCCAAGCAUGGUCCAUGGCUGCCUGCGCCUGAAUCUUCCCCAUUACCGCCUUCUUCUUGGGCUAAGAGAACUGGGUUCCGGCCUAAGUUCUCAGGAGAGACCAAUGCUAGUGAUUCCGGUCAGAUUUCCCUCCCCACGAAGCCCAGAGAGCAGCCUGAUAAUCAACCGGAUCUUGAAGAUGGUCGUGGGAGAGCAGCUCCGACGAAGACGGCUAUUACACCAUCACCAGCUGCUGUGAAUGGCACUGAAACGGCGGUGCCAACUGAGAAUAAAGAUCAUACGGUAAAGAGGAGGAGGGAUUCUGAUGGUGGUGGGGCUCCCAAGAAAGAGUCGGGUCAUGGUGCUAAUGGGCAGGGUCCGGCAGGGCCCACGGAGGG
rnacentral:misc_RNA from 1 species